UACGUAGGGGGCAAGCGUUGUCCGGAAUCAUUGGGCGUAAAGCGCGCGUAGGCGGCCCGGUAAGUCCGCUGUAAAAGUCCAGGGCUCAACCCUGGAAAGCCGGUGGAUACUGUCGGGCUAGAGUCCGGAAGAGGCGAGUGGAAUUCCUGGUGUAGCGGUGGAAUGCGCAGAUAUCAGGAAGAACAUCGGUGGCGAAGGCGCUCUGCUGGACCAUAACUGACACUCAGGGACGAAAGCUAGGGGAGCGAAUGGG
rnacentral:rRNA from 1 species